rnacentral:rRNA from 1 species
UUAAGCGACUAAGCGUACACGGUGGAUGCCUAGGCAAUCAGAGGCGAUGAAGGACGUGCUAAUCUGCGAUAAGCGUCGGUAAGGUGAUAUGAACCGUUAUACCCGACGAUUUCCGAAUGGGGAAACCCAGUGCAAUUCGUUGCACUAUCGUUUGAUGAAUACAUAGUCAAACGAAGCGAACCGGGGGAACUGAAACAUCUCAGUACCCCGAGGAAAAGAAAUCAACCGAGAUUCCCCUAGUAGCGGCGAGCGAACGGGGAGCAGCCCAGAGUCUUAAUCAGCAUUAGUAUCAGGAGAACGGUCUGGAAAGUCCGGCAGUAAAGGGUGAUAGCCCCGUAUCUGAAGAUAUUAGUGUUGUGAACUCGACGAGUAGGGCGGGACACGUGUUAUCCUGUCUGAAUAUGGGGGGACCAUCCUCCAAGGCUAAAUACUCCUGAUUGACCGAUAGUGAACCAGUACCGUGAGGGAAAGGCGAAAAGAACCCCGGCGAGGGGAGUGAAAUAGAACCUGAAACCGUGUACGUACAAGCAGUGGGAGCCUUGAUUUAUCAGGGUGACUGCGUACCUUUUGUAUAAUGGGUCAGCGACUUAUAUUCUGUAGCAAGGUUAACCGUAUAGGGGAGCCGUAGGGAAACCGAGUCUUAACUGGGCGAAUGAGUUGCAGGGUAUAGACCCGAAACCCGGUGAUCUAGCCAUGGGCAGGUUGAAGGUUGGGUAACACUAACUGGAGGACCGAACCGACUAAUGUUGAAAAAUUAGCGGAUGACUUGUGGCUGGGGGUGAAAGGCCAAUCAAACCGGGAGAUAGCUGGUUCUCCCCGAAAGCUAUUUAGGUAGCGCCUCGUGAACUCAUCUUCGGGGGUAGAGCACUGUUUCGACUAGGGGGUCAUCCCGACUUACCAACUCGAUGCAAACUACGAAUACCGAAGAAUGUUAUCACGGGAGACACACGGCGGGUGCUAACGUUCGUCGUGAAGAGGGAAACAACCCAGACCGCCAGCUAAGGUCCCAAAGUCAUAGUUAAGUGGGAAACGAAGUGGGAAGGCUCAGACAGCCAGGAUGUUGGCUUAGAAGCAGCCAUCAUUUAAAGAAAGCGUAAUAGCUCACUGGUCGAGUCGGCCUGCGCGGAAGAUGUAACGGGGCUAAACUAUGCACCGAAGCUGCGGCAGCGAUAUGUAAAUAUUGUUGGGUAGGGGAGCGUUCUGUAAGCCUGUGAAGGUGUACUGUGAGGUAUGCUGGAGGUAUCAGAAGUGCGAAUGCUGACAUAAGUAACGAUAAUGCGGGUGAAAAACCCGCACGCCGGAAGACCAAGGGUUCCUGUCCAACGUUAAUCGGGGCAGGGUGAGUCGACCCCUAAGGCGAGGCAGAAAUGCGUAGUCGAUGGGAAACGGGUUAAUAUUCCCGUACUGGUGAUAAUUGCGAUGGGGGGACGGAGAAGGCUAGGCUGGCCGGGCGACGGUUGUCCCGGUUUAAGGAUGUAGGCAGGUGAAUUAGGCAAAUCCGGUUCACUAUAUGCUGAGGUCUGAUGACGAGUCACUACGGUGGCGAAGUAGCUCAUGCCCCGCUUCCAGGAAAAGCCUCUAAGCUCUAGAUUAUCAUUAAUCGUACCCCAAACCGACACAGGUGGUCAGGUAGAGAAUACUCAGGCGCUUGAGAGAACUCGGGUGAAGGAACUAGGCAAAAUGGUGCCGUAACUUCGGGAGAAGGCACGCUGGCGCUAGGUGAAGUGGUUUACCCAUGGAGCUGAAGCCAGUCGCAGAUACCAGCUGGCUGCAACUGUUUAUUAAAAACACAGCACUGUGCAAACACGAAAGUGGACGUAUACGGUGUGACGCCUGCCCGGUGCUGGAAGGUUAAUUGAUGGGGUUAUCCGUAAGGAGAAGCUCUUGAUCGAAGCCCCAGUAAACGGCGGCCGUAACUAUAACGGUCCUAAGGUAGCGAAAUUCCUUGUCGGGUAAGUUCCGACCUGCACGAAUGGCGUAAUGAUGGCCAGGCUGUCUCCACCCGAGACUCAGUGAAAUUGAACUCGCUGUGAAGAUGCAGUGUACCCGCGGCAAGACGGAAAGACCCCGUGAACCUUUACUAUAGCUUGACACUGAACAUUGAGCCUUGAUGUGUAGGAUAGGUGGGAGGCUUUGAAGUGUGGACGCCAGUCUGCAUGGAGCCAACCUUGAAAUACCACCCUUUAAUGUUUGAUGUUCUAACGUUGCCCCGUUAUCCGGGGUGCGGACAGUGUCUGGUGGGUAGUUUGACUGGGGCGGUCUCCUCCCAAAGAGUAACGGAGGAGCACGAAGGUUGGCUAAGCAUGGUCGGACAUCAUGCGGUUAGUGCAAAGGCAUAAGCCAGCUUGACUGCGAGAGUGACGGCUCGAGCAGGUACGAAAGUAGGUCUUAGUGAUCCGGUGGUUCUGAAUGGAAGGGCCAUCGCUCAACGGAUAAAAGGUACUCCGGGGAUAACAGGCUGAUACCGCCCAAGAGUUCAUAUCGACGGCGGUGUUUGGCACCUCGAUGUCGGCUCAUCACAUCCUGGGGCUGAAGUAGGUCCCAAGGGUACGGCUGUUCGCCGUUUAAAGUGGUACGCGAGCUGGGUUUAGAACGUCGUGAGACAGUUCGGUCCCUAUCUGCCGUGGGCGUUGGAAGAUUGAAAGGGGCUGCUCCUAGUACGAGAGGACCGGAGUGGACGCACCACUGGUGUUCGGGUUGUCAUGCCAAUGGCAUUGCCCGGUAGCUAAGUGCGGAAGAGAUAACCGCUGAAAGCAUCUAAGCGGGAAACUUGCCUUGAGAUGAGUCUUCCCUGACCCUUUAAGGGUCCUAAAGGAACGUUUAAGACUAAGACGUUGAUAGGUUGGGUGUGUAAGCAUAGCGAUAUGUUGAGCUAACCAAUACUAAUGAACCGUGAGGCUUAACCUG